CUGCCCAGUGAAGUUGAAGUUGAUUUUGUAUUUAAUCUUGAUGAGUCAGAGAGUGACGAUCAAUUCAUAAAUGACGAUGAGAUAGAAAAUGACACAUAUGUCGAUUCUUAUGAUUCAGAGGAGGAUUUAUACAUCGAGGAAGAUACAAAUAUUGAUGAGUAGAUCUAUAUUCUUUGUUCAAUCUUCUCUUGCAAUAAUGGUAUACAAUAUAAUUCUAUUCAUUAGAAUGUAAUUUAUUUUCUGUUAUUAUUGUUCAAUAUUA
rnacentral:lncRNA from 1 species